rnacentral:rRNA from 1 species
CAGCAGCCGCGGUAAUACGUAGGGCGCAAGCGUUAUCCGGAAUUAUUGGGCGUAAAGAGCUCGUAGGCGGUUUGUCGCGUCUGCCGUGAAAGUCCGGGGCUCAACCCCGGAUCUGCGGUGGGUACGGGCAGACUAGAGUGAUGUAGGGGAGACUGGAAUUCCUGGUGUAGCGGUGAAAUGCGCAGAUAUCAGGAGGAACACCGAUGGCGAAGGCAGGUCUCUGGGCAUUAACUGACGCUGAGGAGCGAAAGCAUGGGGAGCGAACAGGAUUAGAUACCCCGGUAGUCCCUGUCUCUUAUAA